UAAGGUCCUCAUCUUCUCGGGUUCCCAAGUCAAAAAAAGUAAUGCCAAUUAUGACUACUCGUAAGACAUCAGUAAUCCCAAAGGAGCCUCCACUGAGCUGGGGAUCUCAAGUCAGCUCAUUAAGGAUUAACUCCAUGUAAGCCAAACAAGACUAUACCAUCCUCCUAUCAUAAAAGCACUCAAGUCCGGGUAUAGGACUUAUCUCAC
rnacentral:lncRNA from 1 species